ensembl:lncRNA
GGGGACACGUGGCACUGCCAGCUGUAUGGGGACAGUGGGACAUGGGGGGGGGCAUGGGGACAGUGGGGACAAUGGGGACAUUAUGGACAUGGGAACAUUAUGGACAUGGGGACAUUGGGGAUGUGGGGACAUUGGGGACAUUAUGGACAUGGGGACAAUGGGGACAUGGGGACAUUACGGACAUGGGGACAUUAUGGACAUGGGGACAAUGGGGACAUGGGGACAUUAUGGACAUGGGGACAAUGGGGACAUGGGGACAUUAUGGACAUGGGGACAUUAUGGACAUGGGGACAAUGGGGACGUGGGGACAGUGGGAACAUUGGGGACAUGGGGACAUUAUGGACAUGGGGACAUUGGGGACAUUAUGGACAUGGGGACAAUGGGGACGUGGGGACGUUGGGGACAUUGGGGACAGUGGGGACAUUAUGGACAUGGGGACAUUGGGGACAUGGGCGGUGGCCAUGGGUGGCCCUGGUGGGUGUGGCCCCCAUAGGAGGGUGCUUUAUGGGGGCGGGGGGUUGGGGGGGGGGGGAGUGGCCCUAUAGAGCGUGGCCGAUCCCAUAGCGCUCAAAGCACCAUGAAUUGGGGCCGGGCAGCCCCACUGCUGGGGGGGGCGCUGGGCUGCUCCAUGCUGCUGUGGGCGGGGCUGCUGCUGGCGCUGCUCAGCCUCGACGUGGAAAUCUCGCGAGAUCUGGCGCAGCUGCGGGACCGCCAGGAGGAGCUGCGGGGGGGCGUGCCCCGGAUGUGGCAGCGGAUGGAGGAUCUGCGGGGGAGGGCGGAGAGGGACGAGAGGGACGGGCGGCGCACAGCGGUGACGGCGCAGCGCUUCGGGGCCGACGUGGGGCAGCUGCGGCUCGAAGGCAGGCGGUUGGCGCUGGAGGCGGCGGCGCAGGAGGCGGAGCUGCGGGCGGAGCUCUCCCGCGUGGGAGCGGCGGAGGGGGCGGGGCUUCCGGCGACCACGCCCCACAUCUGACCACGCCCCCACCCACUCCAUCAUUUGCAUUAAAGGCGCCGCGGCCCCCCAAUGUCUCCGCCGUUCCGUUGUCUCCUUCGCCCCCCCCCCCCGCAGUGCCCCCCCCAUUCUUUUAUUGCCUCCGAU